rnacentral:rRNA from 1 species
UGGCUCAGGACCAACCCCGGCCGGCGGGUCUAACACAUGCCAGUCGAACGAGGCUUUCCGGUGCUUGCACUGGAAAAUCGAGUGGCGAACGGGUGAGUAAUACAUGAGAAACCUGCCUUGGAGAUGGGGACAACCUCGGGAAACUGAGGCUAAUACCCGAUAUCCCUGCCCAGUCGCAUGACUUGGCAAGAAAAUACUCAGGUGCUCCCAGAGGGUCUCAUGCCCUAUCAGCUUGUUGGUGAGGUAAAAGCUCACCAAGGCUUAGACGGGUAGCUGGUCUGAGAGGACGAUCAGCCACACUGGGACUGAGACACGGCCCAGACUCCUACACUAGGCAGCAGCGUGUCAUCUUGCGCCAUGGGCGAAAGCCUGACGCAGCCACGCCACGCGUGCGACGACGGCCCUCGGCUUGUAAACCACUUUCAGCAGGGACGAAAAUGACCUGACCUGCAGAAGAAGCUCCGGCCAACUACGUGCCAGCAGCCGCGGUAACACGUAGGGGGCCAGCGUUGUCCCGAAUUACUGGGCGUAAAGGGCUCGUAGGCCGUUUGGUAAGUCAGAUGUGAUAACUCCAGGCUCAAAUUGGAGACGACAUCUGAUACUGCCCUGACUAGAGUUUGGGAGAGGAGUGCAGAAUUCCCCGUGCACCCGUGAAAUGCGCAUAUAUCGGGAGGAAUACCAGUCAGCGAACGCGGCACCCUGGCCCACAACUGACGCUGAGGAGCCAAAAGCUGGGGUGGCAAACAUGAUAGAUACCCUUGUAGUC